AGAGUUUGAUCCUGGCUCAGGACGAACGCUGGCGGCGUGCUUAACACAUGCAAGUCGAACGGAAAGCGCUCUUCGGAGUGACUCGAGUGGCGAACGGGUGAGUAACACGUGGGUGAUCUGCCCUGCACUUUGGGAUAAGCCUGGGAAACUGGGUCUAAUACCGGAUAGGACUACGCGAUGCAUGUCGUGUGGUGGAAAGCUUUUGCGGUGUGGGAUGGGCCCGCGGCCUAUCAGCUUGUUGGUGGGGUGAUGGCCUACCAAGGCGACGACGGGUAGCCGGCCUGAGAGGGUGUCCGGCCACACUGGGACUGAGAUACGGCCCAGACUCCUACGGGAGGCAGCAGUGGGGAAUAUUGCACAAUGGGCGCAAGCCUGAUGCAGCGACGCCGCGUGAGGGAUGACGGCCUUCGGGUUGUAAACCUCUUUCAACAGGGACGAAGCGCGAGUGACGGUACCUGUAGAAGAAGCACCGGCCAACUACGUGCCAGCAGCCGCGGUAAUACGUAGGGUGCGAGCGUUGUCCGGAAUUACUGGGCGUAAAGAGCUCGUAGGUGGUUUGUCGCGUUGUUCGUGAAAACUCACAGCUUAACUGUGGGCGUGCGGGCGAUACGGGCAGACUGGAGUACUGCAGGGGAGACUGGAAUUCCUGGUGUAGCGGUGGAAUGCGCAGAUAUCAGGAGGAACACCGGUGGCGAAGGCGGGUCUCUGGGCAGUAACUGACGCUGAGGAGCGAAAGCGUGGGGAGCGAACAGGAUUAGAUACCCUGGUAGUCC
rnacentral:rRNA from 1 species